GAUGAACGCUGGCGGCGUGCCUAAUACAUGCAAGUCGAGCGAACGGACGAGAAGCUUGCUUCUCUGAUGUUAGCGGCGGACGGGUGAGUAACACGUGGAUAACCUACCUAUAAGACUGGGAUAACUUCGGGAAACCGGAGCUAAUACCGGAUAAUAUUAUGAACCGCAUGGUUCAAAAGAGAAAGACGGUCUUGCUGUCACUCAUAGAUGGAUCCGCGCUGCAUUAGCUAGUUGGUAAGGUAACGGCUUACCAAGGCAACGAUGCAUAGCCGACCUGAGAGGGUGAUCGGCCACACUGGAACUGAGACACGGUCCAGACUCCUACGGGAGGCAGCAGUAGGGAAUCUUCCGCAAGGGGCGAAAGCCUGACGGAGCAACGCCGCGUGAGUGAUGAAGGUCUUCGGAUCGGAAAACUCUGUUAUUAGGGAAGAACAUAUGUGUAAGUAACUGUGCACAUCUUGACGGUACCUAAUCAGAAAGCCACGGCUAACUACGUG
rnacentral:rRNA from 1 species